AACACGUUCCUUAGAUCCACCUCUGGGGAGUGUCUCUGGUCUGGUUCUGUCGUUCCUUUUGGAAUAGCAGGAUCAGGUCGGAAGCUCCCGGCAGCUUUGCGGCUGUACAGUUGGAGGUGCUUGAGUCAUUGGCGUGUGAGAUCAGUCUACCUGCUCGCCCAGCGUCUCUCUGCCUCGAACCUUUACGGGACGACACUGGGGCAGAACAGCUGGAGAGCGGACAAA